rnacentral:ncRNA from 1 species
AUCUUCGGGGUCGGGUGCAAGUCCCAACCGGCGGUAUAGUCCGCGACCCGCUGAAAAGCGGCUGAACCGGUGACUUUUUAAAAGAAUUCCGGUACCGACAGUAUAGUCUGGAUGAGAGAAGAA